rnacentral:rRNA from 1 species
AGAGCGAACGCUGGCGGCAGGCUUAACACAUGCAAGUCGAGCGCCCCGCAAGGGGAGCGGCAGACGGGUGAGUAACGCGUGGGAACGUACCUUUUGGUUCGGAACAACACAGGGAAACUUGUGCUAAUACCGGAUAAGCCCUUACGGGGAAAGAUUUAUCGCCGAAAGAUCGGCCCGCGUCUGAUUAGCUUGUUGGUGGGGUAAUGGCCUACCAAGGCGACGAUCGGUAGCUGGUCUGAGAGGAUGAUCAGCCACACUGGGACUGAGACACGGCCCCAGACUCCUACGGGAGGCAGCAGUGGGGAAUAUUGGACAAUGGGGGCAACCCUGAUCCAGCAAUGCCGCGUGGGUGAAGAAGGUCUUCGGAUUGUAAAGCCCUUUCGGACGGGACGAUGAUGACGGUACCGUAGAAGAAGCCCGGCUAACUUCGUGCCAGCAGCCGC